UACAGAGGUGGCAAGCGUUGUUCGGAAUUACUGGGCGUAAAGGGCGCGUAGGCGGCCUUGUAAGUCCUGUGUGAAAUCCCCCGGCUCAACUGGGGAACUGCACAGGAGACUGCUUGGCUUGAGUUCGGGAGAGGGAAGCGGAAUUCCGGGUGUAGCGGUGAAAUGCGCAGAUAUCAGGAGGAACACCGGUGGCGAAGGCGGGUCUCUGGGCCGAUACUGACGCUGAGGAGCGAAAGCGUGGGGAGCGAACAGG
rnacentral:rRNA from 1 species